GACAGAGGAUGCAAGCGUUAUCCGGAAUGAUUGGGCGUAAAGCGUGCGCAGGCGGUUAUGUAAGACAGUUGUGAAAAUCCCCUGGGCUCAACCCAGGAACUGCACUCGAAACUACUAUUCUUGAGUGUCGGAGAGGAAAGCGGAAUUCCUGGUGUAGAGGUGAAAUUCGUAGAUAUCAGGAGGAACACCAGUGGCGAAGGCGGCUUUCUGGACGAUAACUGACGCUGAGACGCGAAAAGCGUGGGGAGCAAACAGG
rnacentral:rRNA from 1 species